rnacentral:lncRNA from 1 species
UUUACCUUCCGUGAAGGUGUGUAUAGAAGAAAGAAGCUCCGAGCACCCAAACAGUGCAAUAUAGAUCUAUACAAACUGAGGACUGAGAAAACCUGUACAUAGUUAUAACUAUCAUCAGUAUAAUAUGACAUUUGUCUGGUGGUCAACCAAGUGACAGUUUCAGCCAAGAUUACCAUAUCACAGAUUCACAUGUGGGCACUUCCAAUCUUCUUUUCAGAUUAUGGCAUAUCUUCAAAAUCAGAGAGCAUGUGAAAUCCAAAUGACUCUGCACAACAUCGGUCUUCAAUGACCCGACAAAUCUGAGUCAUUGGGUGAUCUGAUGCCGAUAUCCUCAUCAAUUGGAACUGAUUUCCGUAUAUUCAGGGAAUUAGGGGCUGCACAUGACUCGAAUCUACCGGUCGUGCAAGGAAUGAGCUGUACUUUUGC